rnacentral:rRNA from 1 species
UUUGAUCAUGGCUCAGGACGAACGCUGGCGGCGUGCUUAACACAUGCAAGUCGAACGAUGAUGCCUAGCUUGCUGGGUUGAUUAGUGGCGAACGGGUGAGUAAUAUGUGAGUAACCUGCCCCCUUCUUUGGGAUAAGCCUUGGAAACGGGGUCUAAUACUGGAUAUUCCUGUUGCAACGCAUGUUGUGGUGGGGAAAGUUUUUUCGGUGGGGGAUGGGCUCGCGGCCUAUCAGCUUGUUGGUGGGGUGAUGGCCUACCAAGGCGUCGACGGGUAGCCGGCCUGAGAGGGUGACCGGCCACACUGGGACUGAGAUACGGCCCAGACUCCUACGGGAGGCAGCAGUGGGGGAUAUUGCACAAUGGGCGCAAGCCUGAUGCAGCGACGCCGCGUGAGGGAUGACGGCUUUCGGGUUGUAAACCUCUUUCGCUACCGAACAAGGCUCCAUAUUGGUGGGGUUGAGGGUAGGUGGAUAAGAAGCGCCGGCUAACUACGUGCCAGCAGCCGCGGUAAU